rnacentral:rRNA from 1 species
UGCGGUGAUGAUGGCACGAAGGAUACACCUGUUCCCAUUCCGAACACAGAAGUUAAGCUUCGUAACGCCGAGAGUAGUUAGAGGAACGCCUCUUGCGAGGGUAGGAANGGUCACAGGUU